AUACGGAAGGUCCGGGCGUUAUCCGGAUUUAUUGGGUUUAAAGGGCGCGCAGGCGGAGAUGCAAGCGUGACGUCAAAUUUCGGGGCUCAACCCCGUCUCGCGUCGCGAACUGCGUCCCUUGGUUUCGGGAAGGGGAGGCGGAACUCCUGGGGUAACGGCGAAAUGCAUAGAUAUCACGAAGAACUCCGUUCGCGAAGGCAGCCUUCCGGCCCGUCAACGACGCUCAUGCUCGAAGGUUCGGGUAUCAAACAGGAUUAGAUACCCUGGUAGUCCACACUGUAAACGAUGAUAACUCGCUGUCGGCGAUAUACAGUCGGUGGCCAAGCGAAAGCGAUAAGUUAUCCACCUGGGGAGUACGACCGCAAGGUUGAAACUCAAAGGAAUUGACGGGG
rnacentral:rRNA from 1 species